GCAAAACGUAGGCACGUAGCGCGCCUGUGCGUGCGCGCGCCGUCACGCACACGAGCACAAACAUACGCACACGAACGCACCGCAGACGGGCCGCGCGGCGCACACCGUCGUCUAUCGGCACGGCACCGCUCCCCACCAGACCACCACCCACCGGACCGUCAAACCCACCGAGUCUGCCGGUUACGGUGCCGCGUCGGUACAUAAUCUUUACGGUCAGGGUCAACGGAACGAAGCAUGUGUUGUGUUGUGUACACUGUACGCGCGCUUUGUGUUAACCGGCCAUAUUGGAAUGCUUGUAGUGAUUGCACCACGGCCGCGGCGGUGACGGCGAUGAUAUUGUGAACACACGGUGAUGGACGGACUCAAUGCGUGUACAUCCGUCGAUUAGAUUUCCUCUGCGCCGGUGUCUGAUAAAAAUAUAAUAUAAUAAUAAUAAUAUAUUAUAAUAAUCGUAAUGAAAGAAUGACGAAUAAUGGAUAAGACUGUGGAGAAAAAAUUAUUAAAACAAUAAUUAUUGGUAUAUUCGGCACGACACGAUAAAUACCAUUUGUAAUAACGAAACGAUAUAAUAUAUCGUAAUCGUAUCGUACGUCGGCGAUUGCGAUUUCCUUUUAUUUUAAUUUUUUUUUUUUUUUUUUACGGCACCGGCGACGACGACCGGGACACCGGAAACCCGCCACGACCGGCUGGCGCGAUAUAACAAUAUCGUGUCGCAGAAAUUAUUGUACGCGCGCGCGCACGGUUUUUUUUUUCUCUCCCCCGACAUCAACGCGCGCGCCAUUUACGCACCGAGAUAUUAUAUUAUUAUUAUUCCAUAGUACCGUACUCGGGCCGCCGGAUCGUGUAAACACAACGUUACUCGCGCACUACGCACGCCGCCGGUCAGCCGGACAAAACGUCAAAUAGUCAUAGAGACACCCGUGUCCGAAUACCCGUGGAUCACAACAGUACGAUAAUUAUUGUUAUUAAUGUGCUGCCUAUCUCGUGGCGGCCAGUGAACGACGGCACCAACAAUAACAACAACAACAAUAAUAACAACGCACUGAUAAUGAUAAUGCGACCGCCGCUGUUGGUGCAGCCGUCCGGACCGGAUUCGACGAUUCAAAGUGUUCGCAAUUAUUGGUAGUUUUAAACUAUCGCGGGACAUGACCCAUGCAGUUCGGAUUGGAUGGUAACUGUACCCGCGCUGUGACAUGUACCCAGUUUCGUCAGAAUUUACUAUCACCUCGAUUGGAGGACGGCCUCUGGGGAGGAUCGAGCGACACACUUACUAUACCGUCCGUCUUGUGCUAUGUGCACUCGUCUAGAGCUCACCGGCUCUCUUGUAAAGCCGCCGUCGUGUGCGACACCAUCUGCGCAAUCAAGUAUUGUGUCGUAUUACGUAAAAUUUAAUCCUACGACGAGUAUGUGAUGCCAACAAUACUUGUUCACGGUGUACUUGUAGACUCGGUCUCCGGUGUACUGUACACCUAUAUCAUUUGACGCGGUUUCCUCUGAAUCCAAACGAUAAAUCUGUUUUUAACGCUGUCACUAUACCAUUGAAUUUUUGUUGGCUGUACAAUCUACAUGCAUUUGUAUAAAGUACGCUAUUGCUUAAGGUCAAGGCCUAACAUUAUUAACUCAAACUAAACACAACUGUCAAUGGCACUCGUUAAUCAAAAAUGCUGAUAGUGCCUACUCGAUUCGAAUAAACAAAAUUAGAUUAAUUAGCGUCAGUAGGUAUUAAGUUCUUUAUAUGAUACAUAUGUUUUUAAAACUCAUAUCAACACAUAAUUAACAAAGAUAAUAAUAUACUCCAAUGUUACUUAUUGUCUGUAUAAAAUUUAUUGAAUAUAAGUAUGUUUCAACAUUUAA